CCUCACUGCAAAUCCAGCAAUGC
rnacentral:siRNA from 1 species